rnacentral:rRNA from 1 species
UACGUAGGGCGCAAGCGUUAUCCGGAAUUAUUGGGCGUAAAGAGCUCGUAGGCGGUUUGUCGCGUCUGCUGUGAAAGACCGGGGCUCAACUCCGGUUCUGCAGUGGGUACGGGCAGACUAGAGUGAUGUAGGGGAGACUGGAAUUCCUGGUGUAGCGGUGAAAUGCGCAGAUAUCAGGAGGAACACCGAUGGCGAAGGCAGGACUCUGGGCAUUAACUGACGCUGAGGAGCGAAAGCAUGGGGAGCGAACAGG